rnacentral:tRNA from 2 species
GACUCUGUAGCUCAGCUGGAUAGAGCAUCCGCCUCCUAAGCGGAAGGUCGCGCGUUCGACUCGCGUUGGAGUCA